AAACUUUCUUCUUUUCCAAUGAAGUUUUAGGGUGCACUUUACUUGUACGUUACAAAGGUGACCAAACUUUUUCCUUAAAAGAUAAUAAAUAUAGUAGGGAGAGAGGCUACACUCCUUUAACGUAGCCCUCCAAUUUUAGUUAGAGAGAGAGAGAGAUGUGCAACUUUACUGAGGAGAGGCUGGACUGGUAGGGAUGAGAGGCUAGACUUCCAAUUUUAGUAGAGAGAGAGGCUAGACCUCUUUUUCUAUAUCAAGAGUCUAGACCUAUCACAACCCGGUGGCUACAGAAAUUUAAUUUUGUUUUUGUUAUUUUUAUUUUUAGAGAUAUGGGUAGUUUUUUAAUGAGAAAAUUAUAAAAGCUCUUUAAAAUAGACUAUCUAUGCAACUUACCCCAUUUCAAUGUUUUCUCUCACUUUUUUCUCCAAAACAACAUUUCUUUUCAAAAAACCCCCAAGGUAAAAAGUUGUAGUUUUUUUGGACAGAAAUACCCUUCCCGUACAAACCAAAUCAAUUCGCGGGUCUCAAGUAGCGUAUUACCGGAGCACAUUCUCAUAAUGCCGGAGCGCUGUGGCUUAGACAUGCAUUACCAUAGCGCACAUUCAGAAUGCCGGAGCGCGGUCCUCCAUUGCCAGAGCGUUGUGGCUCCAGAGACUUCAUUGCCAGAGCGCAGUCCUCCAUUGCUAGAGCGCUGUGGCUCCAGAGACUUCAUUACCGGAGCGGAAUGUCGGAGCGCGUCUUUGCACUACCAGAGCGAGUUCUCAUAAUGCCGGAGUGUUGCGGCUCAGACCUGCAUUGCCGGAGCGCAUAUUCAGGAGUGUGUGUUUGUACUGCCAGAGCGCGCGUGAAAACAUGAGAGAGAAGGCCGUUUGAAAACAAAUAAGGGCAGUUUAGUCUUAUUUCAUGCUACUUUUGGAUUGGGGGGGUUAUUUGCGAUGAAAGAUUGUUUGGGGGAAAAAAGUGAGAGAAAAUAUUGGGGUGGGUGUAAGUUGCAUAGAUAGUCCAUUUUAGGGGUUUUUUUGUAAUUUUUUAUUUUUUC
rnacentral:lncRNA from 1 species